CUUUUACUAUCCCCAAGAUAGGCCUUUGAAGAAAACCAAAACAGAUGUCCUCUGUGUGUGUGAACAUCCAAAUGAAGGAAAUAACUGGCAUUGUGAUAUCUGUAAGCAACAGUUCCAUCAUGGGUGCUUUAAGAAAGAUGCAGUCCACAGAGAUGUUGACGUAUCAAUUUGUCCAAAUUGUGACAAAGAGCUGCAAAAGGUGAUGAAACAUUUACAAAACAUUGUGAAGUGUGAGAAGUCAGUCUGUGGCAUACCUAGUCAUCGGCGGCACCAUCAAUUUGUAGCAAACUCAUGCCAAUACACAAGAAAGUACAGGCCUGUGUAUGGUUAUGCUGAAACAUUCCUGAGAUCUGAGGUCAUGGAUGAAAUUAUCAAAAGAAUUUCAGAUGAGGUUUUAGUACAAGAAGAGUAAGUACAUUGUGUUUUAUGAAACAAUAAAUUCGGG